rnacentral:rRNA from 1 species
GAUGAACGCUAGCGGCAGGCUUAAUACAUGCAAGUCGAGGGGCAGCAGGGUGUAGCAAUACAUCGCUGGCGACCGGCAAACGGGUGCGGAACACGUACGCAACCUUCCUUCAAGUGGGGAAUAGCCCAGGGAAACUUGGAUUAAUACCUCGUAACGUUAUGAGAUGGCAUCAUUUUAUAAUUAUAGUUCCGACGCUUGAAGAUGGGCGUGCGCCUGAUUAGGUAGUUGGCGGGGUAACGGCCCACCAAGUCUUCGAUCAGUAACUGGUGUGAGAGCACGACCAGUCACACGGGCACUGAGACACGGGCCCGACGCCUACGGGAGGCAGCAGUAAGGAAUAUUGGUCAAUGGACGCAAGUCUGAACCAGCCAUGCCGCGUGGAGGAUGAAGGUCCUCUGGAUUGUAAACUUCUUUUAUCUGGGAAGAAAUCCAUAUUUUCUAAUGUGGUUGACGGUACCAGAUGAAUAAGCACCGGCUAACUCCGUGCCAGCAGCCGCCGUAACAC